rnacentral:Y_RNA from 1 species
GGCUGGUCCAAUGGUGGUGGUAUUUAUAAUUAAUUGGUCACAGUCAGUUACAGAUUUCUUUGUUCUUUCUUCACUCCCACUGCUGCACUUGACUAGUCUUUA